AUUGAACGCUGGCGGCAUGCUUUACACAUGCAAGUCGAACGGCAGCACGGACUUCGGUCUGGUGGCGAGUGGCGAACGGGUGAGUAAUGUAUCGGAACGUGCCCAGUCGUGGGGGAUAACGUAGUGAAAAUUACGCUAAUACCGCAUACGAUCUAUGGAUGAAAGCGGGGGAUCGCAAGACCUCGCGCGAUUGGAGCGGCCGAUAUCAGAUUAGGUAGUUGGUGGGGUAAAGGCCCACCAAGCCAACGAUCUGUACCUGGUCUGAGAGGACGACCAGCCACACUGGAACUGAGACACGGUCCAGACUCCUACGGGAGGCAGCAGUGGGGAAUUUUGGACAAUGGGCGAAAGCCUGAUCCAGCCAUUCCGCGUGCAGGAUGAAGGCCCUCGGGUUGUAAACUGCUUUUGUACAGAACGAAAAGGUUUCUACUAAUACUAGGAGCUCAUGACGGUACUGUAAGAAUAAGCACCGGCUAACUACGUGCCAGCAGCCGCGGUAA
rnacentral:rRNA from 1 species